rnacentral:rRNA from 1 species
UACGUAGGGGGCUAGCGUUGCUCGGAAUCACUGGGCGUAAAGCGCACGUAGGCGGGUCUUUAAGUCAGGGGUGAAAUCCUGGAGCUCAACUCCAGAACUGCCUUUGAUACUGAGGAUCUUGAGUUCGGGAGAGGUGAGUGGAACUGCGAGUGUAGAGGUGAAAUUCGUAGAUAUUGGGAAGAACACCGAUGGCGAAGGCAGCCAUCUGGACCGACACUGACGCUGAGGCGCGAAAGCGUGGGGAGCAAACAGG